UAUCUCAGUAGGUAAAGAAUCUGCCUGCAAUGCAGGAGACCUGGGUUUGAUUCCUGG
rnacentral:tRNA from 1 species